AGAUGAAUGUGCUGCCGUGAGGUGAAGCAGCCCACAGCCCUCCUGCAGCAAUCCUUCAGGUGACAUGGCGGUCACAUGCCUGAUGGUCAGCAAUGUGAUUCCAGGCCACUGCUUCUGGAGACUUCCACUGCCCCAGCUACAGGACAGAGGAAGAACAAAAGCCUGUGGAAGAAGGAAGGAGCCAAGGAAAGAUGAGAGUGGAGGAUGAAGACACCACUACACAAGACUUUGGUGACCUGCUCCAGGUCUCCUUUUUAUGGUCCCAGCAGAGACCCAGGACCAUGAAAGAGUUGAAUCGAUGACCUCUGCACUGGACUCAGAUUUCUCUGCAUCUAAACACACAACGCUUGAAACACCUUAGCCUCUCAUCCAUCAGUUAGGGGAAAUACCUCUGCCUACUCCAUAAACAGAUGUACCAAAAGGUUGUGAAACACUGGGGUUGCAUGGUGUGUGAUGGGUCACAGAAACAAAACCUAAAUCUUAGUGGAAGUAGGGACAGUAGAGCGAGGAAGGACUAGAAAUAUGAGCAGAGGAGGGAGAAUGGAAGGCCAUAGCUAGUUUUAAAAAGACAAAAAGAAAUAAAAGCCUGGGAAGAGCAAAAACCUCAGGGAGAAAGUAAUAAGUUUCCAUGUAAAAGUGCAUGUGCAGAAUAUCAUAAUGAAAAAUACAGCACCAUUGUCAGGGGACUUCGCUGCUUGGGAAACAGAAGCUGAACAAUCUGGCAGGGAGGAAAUAGCCCUGGUGUUCAUUAGUCAAAUGCAAAGAUGUACCACAUAACCAGACUUCUGCAUGACUUACAUACCUAAAUACAGAACUAGGAAUAUAUGCUGAUUUCACACCCUAUGACUGUGGACCACCUUUACUGUGCCCUUGCUGGCACACUCAUCACCCCUGGCUAGGAAUCCCAUUUGAGCACAUUGCAUCUUACAGCCUCCUCUUGUUCGCAGCAGCUCUCCCUUACAAAGGAGUGCCACAGCCCAACUCCCGCUUGCAUAGCUGGCACUGACAUUUUCCCUUUAAUUGGACUUCGCUAUAAGCAAAUUCUGCUAUUAUAGGUAUUGAUGUACCUGCGUGUAUCUAUCUCCCAGGGUUCCCGGUUAUGUUUAUUUCUUCUUGAAUUUUAUUUUGUUCUUCUUUAUUGUGCUAUUGCAGUUGCUGGUUUGAUUGGCUGUGUAUUGUAUUACAUGUGUGCACUGACUUUUGAAAAAAUCAAUAACAAUUAACUCAAAUAGGAAGAUGUAAGCAUGCUCUAUCUGUAGCAGCCAGCCCAAACAAAGCUGCCAGCCCCACCAGCAACCCAUGGGGUAGCAGCUUGGAUCUGCGGGCUAUGUAACUUUCACAUGCUUCCAAAGAUAUCUGAUAG
ensembl:lncRNA